GAUGAACGCUGGCGGCGUGCCUAAUACAUGCAAGUCGAGCGAACAGACUAUAAGCUUGCUCCUCUCACGUUAGACGCGGACUUGUGAGUGACACGGUGAUAACCUACCUAUAUGACUGGGAUAACGUCGGGAAUCCGGGGCACAAAACGUAUAAUCUAUUAAUCCUAAUGGUUCAAUAGUGAAAGACUGUUUUGCUGACACUUAUCGCUAGAUCCGCGCCCCAUUAGCUAUUUGGUAAGGUAACGGCUUACCAAGGCAACGAUGCGCAGCCGAUCUGAGAGGGUGAUCGGCCACACUGGAACUGAGACACGGUCCAGACUCCUACGGGAGGCAGCAGUAGGGAAUCUUCCGCAAUGGGCGAAAGCCUGACGGAGCAACGCCGCGUGAGUGAUGAAGGUCUUCGGAUCGUAAAACUCUGUUAUUAGGGAAGAACAAAUGUGUAAGUAACUAUGCACGUCUUGACGGUACCUAAUCAGAAAGCCACGGCUAACUACGUG
rnacentral:rRNA from 1 species